ensembl:piRNA 21ur-737 ncRNA
UAACAACUGCAUAUUGAUGAU